rnacentral:rRNA from 1 species
GCGGCAGGCUUAACACAUGCAAGUCGAGCGGAUGAAGAGAGCUUGCUCUCUGAUUCAGCGGCGGACGGGUGAGUAAUGCGUAGGAAGCUACCCGAUAGAGGGGGAUACCAGUUGGAAACGACUGUUAAUACCGCAUAAUGUCUACGGACCAAAGUGUGGGACCUUCGGGCCACAUGCUAUCGGAUGCGCCUACGUGGGAUUAGCUAGUUGGUGAGGUAAUGGCUCACCAAGGCGACGAUCUCUAGCUGGUUUGAGAGGAUGAUCAGCCACACUGGAACUGAGACACGGUCCAGACUCCUACGGGAGGCAGCAGUGGGGAAUAUUGGACAAUGGGCGAAAGCCUGAUCCAGCCAUGCCGCGUGUGUGAAGAAGGCCUUCGGGUUGUAAAGCACUUUCAGUAGGGAGGAAGCGUUGUGUGUUAAUAGUACACAGCGUUGACGUUACCUACAGAAGAAGCACCGGCUAACUCUGUGCCAGCAGCCGCCGUAAGAC